UUGAAAUUUUUUUUUAGUUCUUAGGUAAACUAAACAAGGCCUCAACGACUCUCCCUCAAAACACUGUGCACAAUCAGCAAUCCCGGCCCCCCGAAAUCGGACGCCUGGAGGAGCUCGGACGAAGAAACGAAAAAUCCCGAAAUCCAAACUGGCCAUACUAGCAGUUUCAUCGCGACGGGGUUGGUGGGGGAAGGCGGCGAGAGGUCGGGUGCCACCCGGUGGAUGAUAGGGCGCCACACGCCGCCGUGGGGGAGGCGUCACCGGUCGCGCCAAGGGGAGCAGGCUUCGCAGGGGCGGGGAGGGCACGCACAUACGGCGGCUACGGCGAGGACGUUCCGGUAGACCGGGUAUUUAUUGGCUCCCCCCGGGAAAGGAGAUGUACAGGUCAGGAAGAAAGAACAGAUCCUUGUGAUUGAAUGAAUGGCUUGCAGCGAUGAAAUGAAACUACAAGAAGCUGCAGAAGAGAAGAGGGACAACAGAAGGAUGAAAACUGCGGAGCGUAUCUUAUGCGUAGAGAUCUGCUCGAGGCACCACAAUUGUCCGGAAGUAUGCGCAAGAAGAACAGCUGCAUACCUGCUCGACUCCUCUGGUUGUGGCUGCAGAGCUCCUCCACUCCAAGCCCCCGGCCAUUGCAGGGUAGCUACAGCUACAAAAGAUUAAGCGGACGGAAAGGCCGGCAGCACCUUGAGGCUUGAGCGAAGUCCAAGUCCAAACCUCCUUUGAUCAACAGUGGGGAUGGAGCAAAAGAUGGCAGUGAAGUGACGGAAAGAGCGCUGCAAGGAAAGAAUGAAAGCGAGCAGGAGGUAAAGAGAGGAGGAGGGUAGAGCUUGAGGACGGUGGUGUGCUGAGGCGAGCUGGGCGAUUCAAGGGAGCCUGAACGGGAAACGGCAGCGGUUUCUAGCUAUGCGCGCUUAAAGAGGAGGGAGGAUCAGAGCCUUCAGAGGGGAUGCAGUCACGCCUGGGUUCACAUGCACGCAGCACACGCAGACAGAGGACAUCUCCGUGCGCGGCAGAAGCACAGGAUUUGUCGAAGUUUGCAAACGCCCCGAGAAAACCGGCCCUCGGCGUCCUCUUCGCGAGCAUCCAUCUGACAGUACUCUGCUGCUGCUGCCCUUAAUCAGCGGAAGAUCCUGCAUACACCUGGAUGAUCUAUAGUACUGCAUUAACAUCGCACAGCAUUCAAUCAGAAGAGCGGCCAUGGACGUGCAAAGUCAUCCACCCUACUCAUAUGACUGUGCAUUUUGCUUGUCCUGUGGUGGUUCGGGAACGUGAAUUCUGCAUAAAUCGGGCAUGGCUCUGGAACAUUUGACAAAGGACUUGUUUAGUUCGGCAAAAAAUUUUUGGUUUGUAGCA